CCGAUACAUCAAAAGUUCUCCUUUCUCCAGCAUUCUGUUGAGGUAAGCUUCUUCAUAUGAUUUCUUUGGUUUUUUUGUGAUCUUCUUUGUUUUCCUCAAAAUUGAUGAUUUUUUCUUCUUUUUCAGUUGGUUUUAGUGUUGAUGUUCAAUUUUUGUUAUGUGGUUGUGUUUUUCCUGUUUAAUUACUGAUUUUUGCUUUGUUUAUUACAUGCAACAAUUAAUUUAGUCUGUCUUCAUCAUAAUUCUUUUGAAUCUUAUCUGUUCAUAGAUGGUUCUUUGUCGAAAUUAACUUUUUGGGUUCCUUAAUUCCAGUUGUUUUUUCCAUCAUACUUCUUUUGGACUUCCUCUGUUUGUAUAUGUUGGUUUUCCAUUGGAAUUAACUUUUUGGGUUUCUUCAUUUUAAUCAUAUACUGUUGUGGGUUUCGCUUCGAGUUCUUUUUACAUCAUUGCAUUAACUUUUUGAAAUUAUUUUAAUUUACAGUGUGAAAAUUUAAAGAUCUGCAACUACUUAUGCCAGAAUUUGAACUAUCGAUGUGUCUUCUUAGCAAAUUCAAGGAUCUGGAACUACUUAUACCAGAUUUGAACUACGGGACCUGAGAGAAUUAGAGAACCGAUUAUUAUGGGUGCUUCGUUUGGUCAUGGGGAGAAAGUCAAUCUGCAUCUAGCCAGGGAAGCUGGCCACUCCUAUUGCCAAAUUGUCCGUGCUGCUAAUAUGAGAGUCAGAGAGAUAGAAAAGGCUCUUAUUAGAGGCAAUCAUUGAGUAUCCUACAACACACGUGUUUCAACACCAUUUGCUAUAGAUUUGUUGACCAAUCAAGUAGAACAAAAAAUGAGAAGGUAUGUGCAGGUUUGGACAAUGCGAUGAGAUGUGUUGUAAGAGUCAUGUUCUGAAGGAUUAACAAUGGAGUGUUUAUAUUGUUCGUGCCCCUGACUCUACUUGCUAUGUGAGGGUUUGCCAAUUGAGGAUUUAGGAGUGCAAAUGUAUUCUUUCAUUUCACAGCUGAGUUGAGCAGUCAUAUGUUAUUGUUGUGCGAAAUUCGAGAUAAUACGUGAAAAUAUAAACGCAAAAAACAAGACAACAGAUUUACGUGGUUCACCAAUAAAUUGGCU